rnacentral:rRNA from 1 species
UACGGAGGGUGCAAGCGUUAUCCGGAUUCACUGGGUUUAAAGGGUGCGUAGGCGGAUAGGUAAGUCCGUGGUGAAAUCCUGCAGCUUAACUGCAGAACUGCCAUGGAUACUAUCUAUCUUGAAUGUCGUGGAGGUUAGCGGAAUAUGUCAUGUAGCGGUGAAAUGCUUAGAUAUGACAUAGAACACCCAUUGCGAAGGCAGCUAACUACGCGAUAAUUGACGCUGAUGCACGAAAAGCGUGGGGAUCAAACAGG